UCCCCUUGUAUUAUGCUGAGCCCCCUUGCCGAUUGGCUGAUGGACCCAGCUCGCCGCCCUCGUGAGCCCUCUGGGAGUGUUAUGGGACUCUGUGACAAAGCCUUUACCUUUUCCAUGUGAAGGUGCUGUCAGGGUAGCCUUGGGCAAUGGCUGAGCAGUUGCAGUAUACCCUGCAUUGACAGCGUUGGCUUCGGAGUCUGGCCCGAGAACCCUGGCCUUCUUAGGAGAUGCCAACUGAGAGAGAACAGCCCAGCGACAGGAGGAGCUUCCCAGACGGUGAGGCAGUCUUCUUUCGUACCUGAGGCGGAUUUGCAUCUCCAGCUGUCCGAGAGAUAAGUUGAUGGCUGUGACCCAGAGAGGGAAUGAAAGCGGGGUGCUGGGUUGGGACUUGCUGGGAGGGAUUUUUGAGUCAGCUAUGGAGUUGGGAUACCCAAGAAGGGGCCCCUUAGGCCCCAUAAAGGGAAAGUCUCACUUUUGAUUACAAUGCUGAUGUGUGCAGAGCAGAGGAGUCCUGGUGCGUGUCAUGUCACUUGUCUAUUGUGCAUUCUCUGUCCUUUGGGCAUCUCGUGUCUCAUGCCUUCUGCGUUAGCCCUUCGAUGUGCUUGCGGUCACUCUUCUCACCGAGAGUUUUCUCUCCUCAUUUAUCAUCUGCUGUGUCACGGGUGCCUGCAUGGGUUUGGCCUGGAGCUGCUCUGCCCUGCUGCAUAGUCUGGCCUAUAGGUGUAAUAGGACAGGGCCUGGGGACAUGAAAUUUGUAAUGUAGGGUGUAGUUUGACCUCUAGAUGGUAUUCCUAGGUUGACACAAGAUGGCUGGAGCUGUUAA